CAGCUUAUAAAAGGCGGCGUAAGCUGUCGCUAUGGGAUGGCCCCGCGGUGCAUUAGCUAGUUGGUAAGGUAACGGCUUACCAAGGCAAUGAUGCAUAGCCGAGUUGAGAGACUGAUCGGCCACAUUGGGACUGAGACACGGCCCAAACUCCUACGGGAGGCAGCAGUAGGGAAUCUUCCACAAUGGACGCAAGUCUGAUGGAGCAACGCCGCGUGAGUGAAGAAGGUUUUCGGAUCGUAAAGCUCUGUUGUUGGUGAAGAAGGAUAGAGGUAGUAACUGGCCUUUAUUUGACGGUAAUCAACCAGAAAGUCACGGCUAACUACGUGCCAGCAGCCGCGGUAAUACGUAGGUGGCAAGCGUUGUCCGGAUUUAUUGGGCGUAAAGCGAGCG
rnacentral:rRNA from 1 species